UCCGAAUUGGUGUAGUGGCUAACAUUUGACGCUCUCAUCUUCGUCAUUCGUGACGUAGAAAAAGUACCGUCAAGCCCGGGGUUCGAUUCCCCGAUUCGGAG
rnacentral:tRNA from 1 species